rnacentral:rRNA from 1 species
AUACAGAGGGUGCAAGCGUUAAUCGGAAUUACUGGGCGUAAAGCGCGCGUAGGUGGUUAGUUAAGUUGGAUGUGAAAGCACUGGGCUCAACCUGGGAAUGGCAUUCAAAACUGGCUGACUAGAGUAUGGUAGAGGGAAGGGGAAUUCCAGGUGUAGCGGUGAAAUGCGUAGAUAUCUGGACGAACAUCAGUGGCGAAGGCGCCUUCCUGGACUAAUACUGACACUGAGGUGCGAAAGCGUGGGUAGCAAACAGGAUUAGAAACCCUAGUAGUCC